rfam:Environmental sequence s8_159877, whole genome shotgun sequence.
CGGUCUCAUUAGCCGUAGUAACAACGAACUGUGAGAAGUCAGCAGAGGUCGUAGUAGUGAAGAAGUUCCUGUAAUGGGGAUGGAGCGAAGGAC